GGAUGUAGCUCAGUGGCAGAGCAUGUGCUUUGCAUGCAGAAGGUCUCAGGCACCCCAGGUUCAAUCCCUGGCAUUUCCA